CUGGCUGGCAAAUCCUGAGCUUCACUCCAGGUGGUCACAAUCUGACCCUUGUGACCUCAUGCUUCCCCACCCCCAUUUGUGAAGUUCCAUCACAGGAAGUUCUUCUCCAGUGGCCCCUGAUCCAGGGAGACCCACCCUGCAACAGCCCUUGUCUCCCUCCGCCCUUGGUUCCUUCUCACCCAUCUCACCACCAUCUGCCCAGGGGAGCCACAUGUCCCAAAUUUUGGAGAGAAAAUAAUUGAGGCUCAUUUCCAGGACAGAGGGGCAAGCUGGGUCUAAAGAGCCAAGCAGAAAGGCUUCCCAAAAUCGCUAGGUUGGGAGGGGUCAGAGACGUGUGGCUGCCCCAGCUGUUCUGACUCUGCCCCAGCUUUUGGCUCCACCCCCUUAAAGCACCUUCAGAGGUUCCCAUGGCGACAGUAAACAAGUCUCCACUGCCUUGGCCAUGUGCUGUGUUCACCCCACUCCUGAUCUUGUUGGCUGCUCAGGGGCUGACAGCCCAGAUGUGCAGCUGUGAUGAGCAGAAACAGGGAGGAAUGGAGCCCCCAGCCAUUGUCAUCACUUCCUCAAGCUGUCUAAAUUCUGCCCAGCAGUCUGUGAAAAUGUUGUGCUGAUGACAUAUUAAGUCAUGUAUCCGUUAAAAGAAUAUCUGGAAACCUCCAAAAGGAAGCCAAGCAUAGACUAUUUGGAAGAACUUGAAGGAGCGAGAGCUGACCCCAUCUUUGUACACUGGCAGCACAAGGACAACAAUCAACACGGAAGACUUCUGUGACCAAAUGUGUGCACGUUUCUCUCCAUACACCAAGCAAGCAAUCUAUUCUGCAGCAGACACCAACUGGAAGUCCUCCAAUUCAAUUCAAUUCUGACACUGUCUACCUGGAAAUGGCCUCAGCAACCACAGGUUGAGAGCUCAGUCCCACAAGAACACCUCCUCCUUCCAACCAGUUGAAACUCCACACCUCCAGAACUUCUCACUGACUGGCUUCGAGUUGAGGUUUCCACAGUCCUCUGUUUGAGUUUGAUUAAUUUGCUAGAGAAGUUCACAGAACACAAGGAAACACUUACUUAUGUUGAUCAAUUUAUCACAAAGGAUGUUUUAAAGGAUCCAAAUGGGGGCCAGGCACAGUGGCUCAUGCCUGUAAUCCCAGCACUUUGGGAGGCUGAGGCAGGCGGAUCAUGAGGUCAGGAGAUCAAGACCACCCUGGCUAACACGGUGAAACCCCGUCUCUACUUAAAAAAAAAAAAAAAAAUUAGCCGGGUGUGGUGGUGGGCACCUGUAGUCCCAGCUACUCAGGAGGCUGAGGCAGGAGAAUGGCAUGAACCCAGGAGGCAGAGCUUGCAGUGAGCGGAGAUUGCGCCUCUGCACUCCAGCCUGGGCAACAGACCAAGACUCUGUCUCAAAAAAAAUAAAUACAUAAAAUAAAAAAUAAAAAAUAAAUAAAUAAAUAAAUAAAUAAAGGAUCCAAAUGAAAAGCCAGAUGAAGAGAUAUAUAGUGUGAGGCCUGGAAGAGCACAGGAGCUUCUGUCCCUGUGGAGUUGGGGUGUGUCAUCCUCCUGGCACAUGACAGGUUCUUCUUCUGCUUCCUGUCAGCCUCCACAUGUUCAGCUCUCCAGAAGCUCUAUACAUCCUGUCCUUUCAGGCCUUUUAUGAAGACUCCAUUGGAUAGGCAAGAUAACAAACAUGUAGAAAUGUUAUUAGACCAAAGGGUAUGAUCUAUAAUAUCUAUUAUAAUGCCAAUAGACUGAGUGGGGAAACCCGGCAAGGCCUGUCUAUUCAGAUUCUUGUUAGCACCUCUGUGCAGCAUUCCUUCCUCCAGGGUAUGGCAGGACCUUUCUCAAAUGAGGAUCUUAUGGCCCACAAUCAGAAAGGCAGGGGAAGAUUAGAGGAGGGCAGGGGAAGGUCAGAGAGAGAGAUUAUAUUUUCUGAGGUCUGCUCCUGAGACUUAAAGCACUCCAACAUUAUAACAGAAGACUAUGGGAGUUAUGCCAACAACCAUGGAUGAAAACAUGUUUUAUAUAUAAUAUAUAUAUUAUAUAUAAUUAUAUAUUAUGUAUUAUUAUAUAUAAUUAUAUAUUAUAUAUAUUUUAUAUAUACUCGCAAGAGGUUAAUUCAGAAAAUUGCUACUGUGGUUGCUACUUUUUGUCCUUUAACAACCAAUUUAAAGUAAAAUUUUGACUGAAAUAGCAAUUGAUUUUUGAGAAAUGUCAGCAAUCGCAAUGAUAAUAAUUUUUUAGCCAUUAUCCCAAAGGAAACGAGUGAUGUUUUCAAAAUGUACUUCAAUCCUUCAGCAAUAAUCAGAUAAAUAAAUUUCCUGUAAAAUUAUAA